rnacentral:sRNA from 1 species
CCUCCUCGACCUGCUGCGGCGCGAUCAAGUGGACGUGGCUGUCGACCGCGCCCGCGGUGAGGAUCUUGCCGUUGCCGGCCAGCACCUCGGUGGACGGUCCGAUGACCAGCGUCGGAUCGAUUCCGUCCUGCGUGUCGGGGUUGCCGGCCUUGCCGAUGCCGACGAUCCGGCCGUCCUUGACGCCGAUGUCGGCCUUGACGAUGCCCCAGUGAUCGAGGAUCAACGCCCCGGUGAUCACCAGGUCGGGGGCGCCCUCGGCGCGGGUCGCGCGGGACUGCCCCAUCGACUCGCGGAUG